rnacentral:rRNA from 1 species
UACGUAGGGGGCAAGCGUUGUCCGGAAUCAUUGGGCGUAAAGAGCGUGUAGGCGGCCCAGUAAGUCCGCUGUGAAAGCCCGGGGCUCAACCCCGGGUCGGCCGUGCGGACUGGCGUGCUCGAGCACUGUAGGGGCGGGUGGAAUUCCGGGUGUAGCGGUGGAAUGCGUAGAGAUCCGGAAGAACACCGGUGGCGAAGGCGGCCCGCUGGGCAGGAAGGAAGCGUAAGCUUCCGGCUGACGCUGAGGCGCGACAGCGUGGGGAGCAAACAGG